UUCCUCCACAGUUUGAAUGGCUUGUGUUUGGUGUGUUUGCGUGUGUGAGUGUUCGAGUGUUCGGCGACUGCUUGACUGAGUGAAGUGAGGGUGUUUGUUUGUUUGUGUGUGUGUGUGUAUUUCUGUAAAAACCUACACAGUGAUCUUAUUUGAUCCGGUCCGAGUUCGGCUCUGCUCUGAUCGGAGAUGAUAGGAAAAGCGCUCGCAAGCCUCCGUGGCGAUGAGCAGCAGGCAAGAUGUCAACCUCCAGGGCCCUCCACGGCUCUGUGUUGUGGUGAGAGGUGAUGAAUUGAUCAGAUAUACUAGUUCUGGCUGAGUUUGGGGUUCAUCUCAAGCUUCACGAUGGACAAUGAGUAAAGAGGCGAUUCUGAUCUGA